GAGCGGUUUGAUGACCGGUUCGGUUUUCAGAACCUUGCUUCUCUUUGCUGCUGCUCACGGUGGUCCAACCGUUUUCUCCGCUGCUUCUUCUUCUUCUUCAAUAUUUCUGCGUUUUCGUCUGUUCGUCUUCGAAUCUCAAAAUUUAGAUGGCUCAGCAGGUACAAGAACUUACAGUGAUAGCCCCUGAUCAAAAUAUGGUACAUUAUAGGGUUACUCGUGAUACCACAGUUGCUAUUGUAAGAUCCGUAGUAGCUUGUUUAAGGGGUUUCGGAGAGGCAGAAGUGGAAGCAAUGCUGAGCGUGGGCCCAGAUUAUAUACCUGUUCCGGACCAUCUGCAUCUGUGGGAGCCGGCAACAAGUCAAUGUACUCUGGUUUUCCAGCAGCCGGGACGCAUCCCCCCGAUUCGUGGACAAUGGUGAUGAUGCCGAUGGUGACCAGAAGAGGGCAAAGGUUGUUUUUGUCCAUGGAGGCGAGGCGUUCAAGUCGGUGCUGUUAAGAUAGAUGAAGCAGCUGGAAGCAUGGAACAGUUGACAAUAUAAUACAUUGCAAGUUCUAGGAUCUGUCAGAUAGGUUUCUGAAUCUGCAUUCUGUAAUCAAUUUCCUGUCAAAUAUACAUUUUCAACUUUCAGAAUUCCUGUUUUCGCUGAUGUUUAGAGUUUAGCUAAACAUGAUAUGCAUAGAUUUUACAACUGAAUUUGUGUUUUAUAGUACCAACUGGUAGUUAUGGUGACAGUAAAUUUGGAGUUUGAGUUGGCCUGGUCUGAAACAUUUGAUGGUUUUGAGAGAGAACAACUUUUUGAACAACAUUAUUGGCCGUGUAACUGAUGGAAUUUAUGAAGGUACCACUGAGUUUGAAUUCUGGUUUUAUCAUUUUGAUAAAACCAACCACAGUUGAAUGCAAGAUUUGAGAUUGGAUAUUGAUCUUAA